rnacentral:rRNA from 1 species
GCGGAUCCGCGGCCGCUGCAGAGUUUGAUCCUGGCUCAGAUUGAACGCUGGCGGCAUGCUUUACACAUGCAAGUCGAACGGUAACAGGCCUUCGGGUGCUGACGAGUGGCGAACGGGUGAGUAAUGCAUCGGAACGUACCCGGUCGUGGGGGAUAACGCAGCGAAAGCUGUGCUAAUACCGCAUACGAUCUGAGGAUGAAAGCGGGGGACCGAGCAGCAAUGUUUGGCCUCGCGCGAUCGGAGCGGCCGAUGUCGGAUUAGCUAGUUGGUGGGGUAAAGGCCUACCAAGGCGACGAUCCGUAGCUGGUCUGAGAGGACGACCAGCCACACUGGGACUGAGACACGGCCCAGACUCCUACGGGAGGCAGCAGUGGGGAAUUUUGGACAAUGGGCGCAAGCUGGAUCCAGCAAUGCCGCGUGCGGGGAAGAAGGCCUUCGGGUUGUAAACCGCUUUUGGCAGGAACGAAACGGUGUCCGCUAAUACCGGGCGCUAAUGACGGUACCUGCAGAAUAAGCACCGGCUAACUACGUGCCAGCAGCCGCGGGUAAUACGUAGGGGUGCGAGCGU